CUGGCGUGUUUUCUGUACUGCCUUUUAGAGGAAGACUCCAAGUACUGCCCUGAUUGUGCACAGAUCUUGAUCAAACUUCUGGUCUGCUGUUUGAAGAGGAAGCUGUGAAUAAGAACAGCACAAGAAGAUAAACAGCUACUUCAAAACAAAUUUUUCCAGCUCUCUUCCAAAUACAAAACGUUAUUGCUAUGUGCUGUGCUGCAAUUGAAGGCAACUUGGUUGUGACAGUUCAUGAGGCAAGCAUCAAAGAGCAAUUAGUGUUGGUACUGCAAAGCUGAACUAAUGUAAGGUCUGACUUCAUGUCAACGAAUGCA